ensembl:processed_transcript Gm15527 predicted gene 15527
ACAGCUGGAGCAGCACCCGGAGGGCUUGUGAGAACAGAUUUGUAGGACCCUCAUCUGACCUAGAAAUCUGAAAGGACAGUGGGAGAGGGGAGACAGACACUUGCAGGUUAAAUAGGCCGUAGUAUUGUCUAGGCACAGUGUGCCUGAAAUUUGUUACCUGGGUGCUUGUACGUCAUUUGGUAAUCACACUCUCUCCCCUUGGACCAGGCACUAUGGUGGGCACAGGAAACUAAGCAUAACUAACAUUCAGACCUUCACUUCAAGGAGCCAGUCUUUGCAAGAGUGAAGAGAAACGGCCUUGAACCCUGUAAUCAUGUAACAAUUCCUGCUCCGGGACUCGGGAGAGGUGAACUUGGGUACAAUAUACACUCAUGCCUUCUGGGUCCAGAGACCAGUUCUGAAGCAGAAACCCACUGGGUACACACUGGAAGCUGGCUGUGUGUAAAAGCUACCAGAGAGACUCUAGUGAGGGAUCAUUCAGUUGCUAAAAGAUUAUUGUUAUAAAUUAUACAGCAUGGAGCUAAAUAAAUGAGCUUUUGAAACACUGGAGCGAGCGGUAUUCCACGCAUGUGUAUAUCCACACUUGCUUAUCCACUCAUCUGUGGGUGGAUAUUUAAGUUGCUUCCUCCUCUGGGCUAUUGUGAACAAGAACACUGUGAACAUCUGUGUGGGGUGAUGGCCUGAGCACCUGUUUUUAAUUCUUUAGGGGAAUGGCACCACCCACUGUUCUGGGUCUUCCUGAAUCAAUCAACAAUCAAGACAACCCCCAUGACUGUGCCCUCGGGCCAACCUGGUCCAGAUAGUUCCUCACUCCCAACUCUUCCUCAGGUACUCUAUGCUGUGUCAAGUUGCCAAUUAAAACUUACCAUGUCAAUAGCUACCCUGUUGGAUCUGAGGUGAUAUCAGUCAUGGCUCUGGCUGUGUUUUCUUUAUGACUAAUGACAAUGGACAUUGUUUCAUGUGCCUAUUUAGCUAUUUGUACAUUUUCUUUCAAAAAAUAUAUCUUUUCAGUAUCCUUCUCAAUUUAAAAAUGGGAUUGUCUCUCUUUUUGGCUUUUAAAUGUUAGAAAAUUUUAUACCUUAUGGCUAUUAAGACCUUUAACAGAAAUAUGAUUUGCAAGUGUAUUCCAACUCAUCCUGCAUCUUUUCUCCUUGAUGCACAACAUGCUAAGAUCUGAAGAUGCAUGGUUUAUCCAGUGUUGGGUUAUUCAUAUUUCGGUGUCAUAUUUAAGAAUCCACUGCCCAGGAUAAGGUAAUGACCAUUUAUGUGUAUUUCUUCUACAUUCCCUUUAAGAUUUUAAUUCUUAUAUUUAAGUCAUUGAUCUAUUUUGCAUUAACUUCUAUAUACUGUUCACAAUAGUUCAACUUCAUUUCUCUGUAUGAACCAGCCAGUUGUCCUAGCACCAUUUGCUGAAGAGAUUGUUUGGUUUCCAUUAAAUGUUCUCAGUACUCCUGUAUCAGUUGGCCCUGGGUGUGUGGGCUUGCUGUCAGUGUUGGGUCUGGAGGAACAUCCUGUAGCAACUGGAGCAAUUGACCUCAUCUUCUUAGUGCACACCUGCUCCUCUCAGAUCCUGUCUUAGCAUCCUGCUGUGUACAACUGUGACAACCCUGGGCCAACCUAAAUCCUCUAAAACAUGUUAUUUUCAUUGAUUUCCUUCACCUCUACUUUGAUCAUCAACUUGGGGUUCAGUUGUUGAAACUCUUGCAUUACCUGACCUUUGUCUUCAAGCACAGUGUUGGUCUAUAUUGUAUUUCCAAUUCAGUGCAGAGAGAGCGCCCUUCCAUGGAGUAACUGAUGAGCAGAAUUACCCUCGAGAGCAUGUUACAAUGGAGAAUUUUAUUAUUCAGGGCUGGAACUGUGCUCAGUUUUAUAGAGAUUUAUAUCUCUAACCAUAUUAAGAAUCUUGCUUUCUUUAAAACAUGACCCUAACAAGGUGGGAUUUUGUUAUCAGCACAUGGCUUAAAGUCAGACUUCAAGCUUGUUUCCAGCCCAAGGUCCUGCCUUUUCUAUGCAAGGCUGAAAAAAAGUUCUAAUUAAUGCACCAGAGCAUUAAUCUUCUCAUACAUAAAGAGGUGAAGACAACAGAUCUCACUGCAAUCUCAUCCCCAGCGAUCUAAGGACUAGCAAGCACAAUGUACAUGUAUAUACACCUUAUAUGUACUGAGGCUAGACAAUGCAAUUCCCCAACAGUGUAGCCAAGUCAAGGGAAAGAAAGAUGCCAGCCAAACUAAUUUCAACAUUUUUGAAUGCAUAUAUGCCUUCAAAACUCCAACACAUCUAUAAGUACCAAGACAAAAUAUAAUAAGUUCCUGCCAUUAUUAAGUCCAUUUCCUUUGUGGUUGUCACAAACUGUUUCAUGCCUAAAUGCUCCACGUGCAUGUGUGCCAUUCCAGCAGUACAUACAUACAUAUAUAUGUUUUCAGAACAAUAAUUUUAUAGUCAAGGCUCUUUUGCUGGUUGGUCCCUGGUUUCCUGUAGUAACAUCUCCUUUUCAGCCAAUAGAAUUCAUUAUAGGGUGGGAACAUGGUAGUCUCUCAAGAGGUUGUAUUUUAAGUCACCAGAAACAGAGGAGUGAAGCAGGAGCCACACGGAUGAGAUCUCUGGUGACAGACAGUUAGUGAACACCACGGUGUGGGCCCCUCCCCUAUGUUGUUAGGGCUCCAGUUGGUGGGAUAUUUUUGAUAGUUUAAGCCAUUGUUUCCACACUGGGCAAACGACUGUUUCUAAUAGUCCUCUUAACAAAUGCUGUCUUAUCAACUAGCAAUGGUCAAUUAAAAUGGCUACCCAAAGAGUCAUAAUAUAUGAAAGAAUAUUUUCUAAAAAGAAAAGAAAAACUGGACCAAAACACACGACUUGAAUGGGGGGGGGGAGUUCAAAACACAACAAGGAAGGUCUCCUCGUGUUAGUUUUCCACCUUAAUAUACUGCAGAAGUCUGAACGAGAUGCCUACAACUUAGCCUAGGGAACUUGUUCAACAUACUUUCAAAGACCCAACUGCAAGGAUGCUUCCAGAGGAGUUGUCUGUAAUAUGGAAGAAAGGAUGUCUUGAAACAUAUGGAAGGAAUGAAUUUAAACUGACUUCAUCUGAAAUGGGGAGUUAAAUCAACUCGGUGCCUUCAUCUGUCGGAUUACCAAGCAGCCAUCAAAAAUGGUUUUAUGAAAAUGAUUUUAUUUAGAAAAACGGUUCCAAGAAAUUACUAAGAGAGAAAGCAGCCUUCAAGUUGUCAGAUAAUAAAUAAAACUGUGU